GGCUCGACUGGUACGACGGUCCGAGCAUCCCGACAUUCCGGAUGCCGGAGGGCGCCGUCGACGCGCACUGCCAUGUGUUCGGACCAGGCGCCGAGUUCCC
rnacentral:tRNA from 1 species